UGCAUUUUGCACUUUUCAGAAAUUAAAAUGUGCAAAGUGAAAAGUUGCUAAGUGUGUUGGUGGAACAGGCCAUGCUAAUUGUACAUAAUAUUUUGUAAAGGAAGAGAACAAACAUUUUCAUUGAAGAAAAUGGAGUAUAAAUCUAAAAUCGAAUAAAUCGUGAUCAAUACUAUAUAAAUUUAAUUGUAAAUGGACUAUUUGGAAUUGCUGAUGAAGAAAAUAAUGUUGAAUACACUGCAGCCACUCAGAAAUGUAGAAAUUAUAUAAAUAUGAGAACAGAAAAAGUAUACGAAACCGCAAUUGAUAAACUUUGGAACCAGCUUGUCCAUCGCCUAAGAAAACUUCAGAUACAUUUAUCAUUCAUUUAAUGAUCGGGUCGCCCAUGAAACAUAAACUGUUUCAAUACUGGAAUAUCCUAUAUUAUUUUUAAUAGAAUUUAAUUGUAAAUGGACUAUUUGGAAUUGCUGAUGAAGAAAAUAAUGUUGAAUACACUGCAGCCACUCCGAAAUGUAGAAAUUAUAUAAAUAUGAGAGCAGAAAAAGUAUACGAAACCGCAAUUGAUAAACUAAGUCAGUUCAACAUUUCGCCGUUCCAAAUACGAUUCAGUAUAGAGGUUUUUAAUGUCAGUGUUCGAAAAUGUGUAGGUAGUAUAACUACAGAAGUGAUUUGUAGUGGGUAUACUCAAUAAUCGUUUAUAUCAAGUAAAUAUUUAUUUAGUUUUUUAAAUUAUAUCUGUAAAGCAUUUAAUUUCAUAGAUAAGAGGUUUUGGCUUUCAAAACAUUUGAUGUCUGUCGAACGUUAUGAUCCCACACAUGAGCUGCCUAGUUGAAGAACUAUCUGUAUGUCAUGAAGGUGUUUAUAUAGAAUUUUGAAAGGUGUUUUGUCUACUAUUAGUGUUAGUGAUGGAUCAACAUUUCUUUACAGUAUUGAGGCCUGUAGACUAAUGAUGGAGUACCUAUGGUCUUUUAUUGCUUAUAUAUUUCUCGACACAUACUUGGAGUUGUUGAAUCAAAUGGCUUAUUGUAUGUGAUUGACUGAUAAUAAAUCUGAAGAAUUUGUUAAUACUUAGAAGUUUACAACCCAACACCACUACUUGGUCCAUGGAAACAUUGUCAAGAAGUAACAUGAACUUCUGUGUGUUUAGUUGAGUAGUCGUUUAUAAGCCACCACAUUUUAUAUAUAAUUGGCUAUUAUAAUAGUCUUGUUGGUAGUAAUAAUACUCACAUAUGUUUAAAAACAUAUUUUAUUAUAUCAAUAAAAAGUGUUUUGUAUAAUUUAAAUCAACUAUUGCAUUCAAGUUAAAUAAAUACAGUUUUUAUAUUAUGUGCUAAAAGACCGUUUGACGUCAACUGAAGUCACAGGAGCAUAUUGCAAAUCAAUUAUCUAUAAGUUGCAUCGUUAUCUUAGAAAGUCACUUAUCUACUACAGGCAAUUGCAAUCCAUAAGUACACUGCUAUGUAGGGUAUACCAAUCGUAUAUUAAUAUAUUAUAAUAUACCAAAUCAUAUCACUAU
rnacentral:lncRNA from 1 species